rnacentral:tmRNA from 1 species
GGGCCCGUCACGGUUUCGACGGGGUAAGGGAGAAUAAUAGUGCAGGUGGUCACACGAAACAGUAGACCUAAAACACGGUUUCAAAAACUUAAUUGCCAAUAACAAUUAUCACUUCGAAUCUGUCCGCUUAGCGGCUUAGUCGGUGGGGUUGCUUAAGACCUUAUUACCCAAUUUAAGAUAACAGGUAGAGAUCCUGCGAAAUAAAAAAAUCACAAUGGUUCCCUGGAAACAGGUGGGGCGCAACAGGUUGAUAAGCGCAGGGAUAAUCAACUACCUUUUCUAAUUUGUGAUAGUAAAUUAGACAAACCUGUGAAUGACUUGACUUCAAAGCUAUCUCGGACGCGGGUCG